ACCAAUGUAGUGUAGUGGUUUGAGGUCUGGACUAGGACUCGGGAGACCAGGGUUCGAAUCCCUGCUUGGCA